UUUAGAUAUCUCAGUUGGUAGAGCAUGAGACCCCUUAAUCUCAGGGUUGUGGGUCUGAGCCCCACAUUGAGCAAAA